CCUACGGGUGGCAGCAGUGGGGAAUAUUGGACAAUGGGGGAAACCCUGAUCCAGCGACGCCGCGUGAGUGAAGAAGUAUUUCGGUACGUAAAGCUCUAUCAGCAGGAAAGAAAAUUACGGUACCUGACUAAGAAUCCCCGGCUAACUACGUGCCAGCAGCCGCGGUAAUACGUAGGGGGCAAGCGUUAUCCGGAUUUACUGGGUGUAAAGGGAGCGUAGACGGCUGCGCAAGUAUGGAGUGAAAUGCCGGGGCCCAACCCCGGAACUGCACUGGAAACUGUGAAGCUGGAGUGCAGGAGAGGUAAGCGGAAUUCCUGGUGUAGCGGUGAAAUGCGUAGAUAUCAGGAGGAACACCGGCGGCGAAGGCGGCUCACUGGACUGCAACUGACGCUGAUGCUCGAAGGUGUGGGUAUCAAACAGGAUUAGAUACCCGGGUAGUC
rnacentral:rRNA from 1 species